GCGCAAGUGGUUCAGUGGUUAGAAUUUAGGCUUCCCAAGCAUGAGGCCCGGGUUCGAUUCCCGGCUUGCGCA
rnacentral:tRNA from 2 species